rnacentral:rRNA from 1 species
UACAGAGGUGGCAAGCGUUGUUCGGAAUUACUGGGCGUAAAGAGCUCGUAGGCGGCUUGUCGCGUCGUCCGUGAAAACUUGGGGCUCAACCCCAAGCUUGCGGUCGAUACGGGCAGGCUAGAGUUCGGUAGGGGAGACUGGAAUUCCUGGUGUAGCGGUGAAAUGCGCAGAUAUCAGGAGGAACACCGGUGGCGAAGGCGGGUCUCUGGGCCGAUACUGACGCUGAGGAGCGAAAGCGUGGGGAGCGAACAGG